AACGAACGCUGGCGGCAGGCUUAACACAUGCAAGUCGAACGCCCCGCAAGGGGAGUGGCAGACGGGUGAGUAACGCGUGGGAAUCUACCCAGUUCUACGGAACAACUGAGGGAAACUUCAGCUAAUACCGUAUACGCCCUACUGGGGAAAGAUUUAUCGGAAUUGGAUGAGCCCGCGUUGGUUUAGCUAGUUGGUGAGGUAACGGCUCACCAAGGCGACGAUCCAUAGCUGAUCUGAGAGAAUGAUCAGCCACACUGGGACUGAGACCCGGCCCAAAAUCCUAGGGGAGGCAGCAGUGGGGAAUAUUGGACAAUGGGCGCAAGCCUGGUCCAGCCAUGCCGCGUGAGUGAUGAAGGCCUUAGGGUUGUAAAGCUCUUUCAGGGGGGACGAUAAUGACGGUACCCACAGAAGAAGCCCCGGCUAACUUCGUGCCAGCCGCCGCAGUAACAC
rnacentral:rRNA from 1 species